rnacentral:rRNA from 2 species
UGGAUCCAGACUUUGAUCAUGGCUCAGGAUGAACGCUAGCUACAGGCUUAACACAUGCAAGUCGAGGGGAAACGAUAUUGGAAGCUUGCUUCCGAUAGGCGUCGACCGGCGCACGGGUGAGUAACGCGUAUCCAACCUGCCCACCACUUGGGGAUAACCUUGCGAAAGUAAGACUAAUACCCAAUGACGUCUCUAGAAGACAUCUGAAAGAGAUUAAAGAUUUAUCGGUGAUGGAUGGGGAUGCGUCUGAUUAGCUUGUUGGCGGGGUAACGGCCCACCAAGGCAACGAUCAGUAGGGGUUCUGAGAGGAAGGUCCCCCACAUUGGAACUGAGACACGGUCCAAACUCCUACGGGAGGCAGCAGUGAGGAAUAUUGGUCAAUGGGCGAGAGCCUGAACCAGCCAAGUAGCGUGCAGGAUGACGGCCCUAUGGGUUGUAAACUGCUUUUAUAAGGGAAUAAAGUGAGUCUCGUGAGACUUUUUGCAUGUACCUUAUGAAUAAGGACCGGCUAAUUCCGUGCCAGCAGCCGCGGUAAUACGGAAGGUCCGGGCGUUAUCCGGAUUUAUUGGGUUUAAAGGGAGCGUAGGCCGGAGAUUAAGCGUGUUGUGAAAUGUAGACGCUCAACGUCUGCACUGCAGCGCGAACUGGUUUCCUUGAGUACGCACAAAGUGGGCGGAAUUCGUGGUGUAGCGGUGAAAUGCUUAGAUAUCACGAAGAACUCCGAUUGCGAAGGCAGCUCACUGGAGCGCAACUGACGCUGAAGCUCGAAAGUGCGGGUAUCGAACAGGAUUAGAUACCCUGGUAGUCCGCACGGUAAACGAUGGAUGCCCGCUGUUGGUCUGAAUAGGUCAGCGGC